UACGGAGGGUGCAAGCGUUAUCCGGAUUUACUGGGUUUAAAGGGUGUGUAGGCGGACUUUUAAGUCCGUGGUGAAAUCUCCGGGCUCAACCCGGAAACUGCCAUGGAUACUAUUGGUCUUGAAUGUUGUUGAGGUGGGCGGAACGGGUCAUGUAGCGGGUGAAAUGCAUAGAUAUGACCCGGAACACCGAUUGCGAAGGCAGCCCACUAAGCAACCAUUGACGCUGAGGCACGAAAGCGUGGGGAUCAAACAGG
rnacentral:rRNA from 1 species